CAGCGUGUGCUGCAUGUUUCCUGGUGUGGAGUUCGAGGCUUUAAAGGGUCGACAAUCAGCGCCCCGCGCGCAUGGCGUGACGCCUCGACGUUGGGACGUUGGACUCUGCGGGACGCCCGUCGCUCUGCAGCCCGUGGCGCUUCGGGAGACAUGCUGGCGUGCUACGCCAAGCAGGUAGAUUGUUUGCCGAGCUCCCCUAAGAUAACACGGCCUCUGCACGGUAAGUUUGCAGGGCCAAGUCGGGAAGGACAAACCUAAACCAAAAGACUGGUGAGCGUCUGCACGAGGCACACGGUUUGUGAAGUGCAGCCGAGGCUCAUGGGAGCUCUGCAGGUAUUCGGUCAAUAACCCCAAAGUCAGAGCUUCACACUUUCAGACUUUGACCUGCCGAUGAGGCGUCUGAUUGCCACACGGUACAGAAAGGUGAUCCAGGCGGCCUCCUGCAAAGCGGGUCUGUGCUUGAUUCGACACUCGGCUGUUUAAUAUUUAAGUGGCUCUGUAAUCGCUGCGGCUCUUCUCUCUCAGCGCCGCAUUUAAACGUUUCUGCUCUGCAGGUUUUUUAGAUGAAAUCCUUUCGGUUGCUCUCCCUGAACACCCCUCCACCUGCGUUCCACUCCUUCCUAUUCGCAUAAGCGAAACGAAAAAACACGGCCGUUUUUCCCGUCAGCUUCGCUGGGUAUGUUCUCCGAAACGUCAAACUGAAACAAGUCACCGGUGACAAGGGAAAGACCGAAAGAUCAAAGACGCAUCACCUUUGAGUGACAGCCGCUGUGCGUAGUGUACGCUGUGACUCACACACACACACACGCACGCACAGAGGUGUGUGUUCCACCUUCGCCUCCGGGACUCUUUAAACCCGAUUAUCAGCUGAGAGAUGAAGAUAAUUCAACAAAACAGAGCGAAGGAAAGAAGCUGAAGACAAAGUUGAAGAAAAUAUCUUUGUGCUUCAGAAGUGCAGCAGAUAAAAAGUGUCUCUUUGAAAGGUGUCCGUCGGCAGCAGAGAUGUGCUGCUACAUGUCAGGCUCAAGGCGUGGGCAGACACACACACACACACACACACACACACAGGUACACAAACUCAACCUUCUUCUCUUUCCACAAACCUCAUACAAGUAAAAACAUGAAAAGGUGUCUUUUCUUUCAUGUUUCAAGGAAAACAGAAUCACCUUCUAAUGCGUUUGUUAAUAUUUAAUUGUGCUCCAACAGUUAAAUUCUCCCAAAUUUUCACAAAUUAUUUAUUUUCUG
ensembl:lncRNA